rnacentral:rRNA from 1 species
GACGAACGCUGGCGGCGUGCUUAACACAUGCAAGUCGAACGGAAAGGCCCUGCUUUUGUGGGGUGCUCGAGUGGCGAACGGGUGAGUAACACGUGAGUAACCUGCCCUUGACUUUGGGAUAACUUCAGGAAACUGGGGCUAAUACCGGAUAGGAGCUCCUGCUGCAUGGUGGGGGUUGGAAAGUUUCGGCGGUUGGGGAUGGACUCGCGGCUUAUCAGCUUGUUGGUGGGGUAGUGGCUUACCAAGGCUUUGACGGGUAGCCGGUCUGAGAGGGUGACCGGCCAACUUGGGACUGAGAUACGGCCCAGACUCCUACGGGAGGCAGCAGGGGGGAAUAUUGCACAAUGGGCGGAAGCCUGAUGCAGCAACGCCGCGUGCGGGAUGACGGCCUUCGGGUUGUAAACCGCUUUCGCCUGUGACGAAGCGUGAGUGACGGUAAUGGGUAAAGAAGCACCGGCUAACUACGUG